UUCCUAAAAAACAUAUUAAAAUGUACUUUUUACAAAUUAUAACAAAUCUACUUGUAGAACGUGAUGGAAUGUUUCAUCCAUCACAAAAAAGUGGUAACAAGCAGAGGCCCACCCAAUGUUAGAUCUCUUUCACAUACAGUAAGUACUAUUGGUAGCUGUAAAUGAAGUUUCGAAAAUUUAUUGAUGAUCCCUCCUUCUCAACCACUUGCAUUCACUUUCUGUCUAGUAUUUAGCAAUGCUGAAUGAAUCCACUUUCUAUUCAUCUUUUGAAAAGUACCACUUUUUCUUUCACUAAGGCUUUAGCAAUAUUCUUCAAACAAUGUCUCAUGCUUCUUCUUCCAAAGUUUGCAAGUACGAUAUCUUUUUGAGUUUUGGAGGUGAGGAUACCCGUAGAACCUUUGUGAGUCAUCUCUAUAAUGCUUUGGAACAGAGAGGAAUCCAUGCUUUCAAAGACGAUGAACGGUUGGAGGCAGGACAAUCAAUUUCUGCUGAACUUUUAAGAGCCAUAGAAGACGCCAGAUUCGCUGUCGUGGUAUUUUCAAAAAGCUAUGCAUCCUCAAGAUGGUGUUUAGAGGAGCUUGCACACAUCAUAAAGUGUAAAAAUGAAUUGGAGCAGAAUGUGAUUCCAGUAUUCUAUGAUGUUAGUCCAGCAGAUGUACGCCAUCAAAAUUCCCCUUUCGCGGAUUCAUUUUUCCAACACGAGGUAAAAUACAAAGAUGAUAUGGAGAAGGUUCAAAGAUGGAGAGGUGCAUUUGCGGAGGCAGGCAAUAUAUCAGGCUAUCAUUUACUAAAUUUCAAAGAUGAGGCUGAGUGCGUCAAGAAACUUGUUGAUGACAUAUUUCCUAAGUCACUUCAAAUUAUUUCACCUUUUCCGGAAAGCUUAGUGGGUAUGAGAUCUCAGGUUGAGGAAGUAAUCGAAUUAUUAAGUAUGGAAUCAAAUGAUGCUCGCUCUAUUGGUAUUAGUGGUAUGGGUGGCAUCGGCAAAUCAGAACUUGCACGUGUUCUGUAUGAAAGAUACCGCCAUCUAUUUGAAGCUGAUUGUUUUCUUGGUGAUGUUGGAGAACUUCACCAGAAAAAUGGACAAGCAUGGCUGGCACAAGUCGUCAUUCGCAAGCUCUUGGGUGAAAAGAUGAGUGUAACCAGUGAACAUGAAGGGAUGAUUAUUUUAAAGAAUAGGCUUCGCUGGAAGAAAGUUUUGUUCAUUCUCGAUGAUGUAAACCAUCGAGAACAGUUGGAAUUUUUAGUUGGAGGGACAGAGUGGUUUGGAAUGGGUAGCAGAAUUAUUUUAAAUCAAGAGACAAGAACCUGUUGAUCAGUCACGUCGGGGAUAACGUGUAUGAAGUCCAACUAUUAUCCGAGGUUGAAGCACUUGAAUUGUUCAGUAGGCAUGCUUUUAGAGAAAAAACACCAAAAGAAGAUUUUAUUGAACUUUCGAGAGAAGUGGUGAAACAUGCUGGUGGACUCCCGUUAGCUCUUAAACUUUUGGGUUCUUCAUUUUACAGACGAGACAAAAAGCACUGGAGACACAUAAUUGAUCGGCUGAAGAGAAUCCCUCACAAGGAUAUUCUAGGAAAGCUUAGGCUUAGUUUUGAUGGUCUUGACAAAGAUGAGAAGGAAUUAUUUCUAGAUAUUACAUUUCUAAAUAUUGCAUUUCUGGAUAUGGACUACUGGGCUAGAUCUGAUUUCGAUCUUUAUCUGGAACUAUUACAGAGAGACCCGAAUCGUGGUUUUCUAAUAGAUUACCUUAUGGAAAAAUCUCUGUUAUCCAUCACUUUGAAUAAUAGAAUUGUGAUGCAUAAUAUGAUAAGAGAAAUGGGAGAAAAUGUCAUAAGGGAAGAGUAUGCUAACAGCAGAAUAUGGCUUCCCGAGGAAAUUUGUGACCUUUUUGAUGGGAAGUUGAUAACAGAAAAGGUGGAAAGCCUACAUAUCCCAAAAUAUUCCUAUUUUGAAGAGAAUCUUGUUGAUUAUAGCAAUAUUUUCAAGGUGAUGCAAAGCUUACAAAUACUCAUAAUUGGCGAUGGAACUUUUAGCUCAAACUGCGCAAUUACUUAUCUUCCUUCCAGCCUGCGGUUUAUUGAUUGGACAGGGUAUCCUUCAAUUUCAUUGCCAGAGAGCUUUGAACCAUCACAGCUCGUUAUGCUUCGUUUACGUGAAAGUUGUCUUGUUGAAGUUUUGCCAAUAUCAAAGAAAUUGAGCAACUUGAAGCAUUUGGAUCUCACGGACUGCUAUGAAUUAAGAAAAACCCCUAAUUUUGGUGAUAUGCCAAACUUGGUGAAACUAAAUUUACACAGGUGUGAGAAUUUGGAAGAGGUGCAUCCCUCUCUUGGACAUUGCAGAAUGCUUACUUCUUUGACUUUGUCUUAUUGUUACAAACUUAAGAAGCUUCCAAAAUUUGUGUGCAUGGAAUCUCUUGAGCGUCUCUAUCUCAUUAAAUGCACAAGCUUACAAGAAUUUCCAGAAAUCUGUGGAGAUAUGCAGUGCUUAUCAAAACUCUUUCUUGAAUCCCCCUGGAUAAGAAGCUUAUCCCCGUCUCUCAGCGGCCUUAGAAAGUUGAAAUUGGCUGAUUGUGAAAUUCUUGAAAGUAUUCCAGACACUAUACGAAAUCUUAGUGAUCUCAUUAUUUCAGGUUGCAAUAAACUUACAACACUGCCAGACAGCCUCUUUGAAUCACAGCAAUUGGAACAUCUUUAUAUACACCGAUGUUCUGGAUUGGUAAAGCUCCCCUCAUCUCUUGGAGUUCAAAAGAAUCUCUAUGAGUUAGAGAUGGAUAGAUGUGAGAACUUACAGAAGUUUUCAAGCUCUAUUCGGAUAGAAUCCCUUACACGACUCAAGAUAUCUAAUUCCCCAAAAUUAGAUACAUUUCCAGAAAUCAAAGGAGAUAUGCAUUGCUUGAAGUUCCUGACUCUGACGUCUACUGCGAUAAGAGAAGUGCCUUCAUCCAUUGGGAAUCUGAGCGGCCUCAUUUAUCUAAAUCUGUCAGGUUGUGAAGAUCUUGUAAGUCUACCAGACAACCUCUGUAAUUUGGUGAAUCUUCGUAGUCUUAACCUCAGAGGUUGCAAAAGGCUAGAGAAGCUUCCAGAAAACGUUGGUGAUUUGCAAGAGUUGUAUAUACAUGAUACUAGCGAAACUGCAAUAUCCCAACCACACGAUCGCAACAUAUUGGGUGGACAAUUAGGAUCUUUGAGAGAAUUGGAUGUAAGUGGAAGCAAUAUUUCUUGUUCACCAAAAAGCUUAAAAGGACACUUUCUCCUUCAGUAUCUGGAAGUACACUACUGUGAGAAUCUUAAUGAACUGCCAAGAGAGCUACCCCCAAAUUUAACAUGGCUAUAUGCAGAUUAUCAUUUAGCCCUGAAGAGCAUCAGAGAUCUCGUAAUGAAUUGUCUUAAGUUGUGUAGGCUGGGAAUAUCCAACUGUGGAACUGUCUCAAGUGAACAAGUUAAUGUGUUCCUACAGCAUUUUCACAAGACAUGCAUCCAGUGUAACUUCCACCUAAGGGAUUAUUUUCUCAUUGUUUUUCCUGGAGUCAGAAUUCCUGAGCUGUUUGAUUACAAUCGGUUUAUAUAUCAACAAGAUAUGUCAAUUGAUCUGGACCCAUCUUGGUAUACCGAUAAAUUCAUUGGUUUUUCGAUAUGUUACGGUCCUAUUAGAAAUCACACAGAAUUACGAGUUACAUUGGUCUGCAAAUCUGGCCCUGAAAGAAAAUAUUCCUUGGGGUAUAACAACUUUCUCGGUGAAAAUUUGGAGUCUGACGAUCCUUUUAUUUGUUUUGCCUACAUACCAUUUGAAACAUUGUGGAACAAUGGCGAAGGCAAUAAAGAAGGGAAGAAUCCAAAUGAUUAUUACAUGUUGGAGUUGGAGUUGGAGUUUACUGAUGAAGUAGGCUGGGGAAUUCGCCUGGAGUAUGAAAAGGAGGCAAUGAGUAAUACUAGUCAUCCAAAUAAGAAAAGGAAGCAAUGAGGUCUGUUUAUGACUUGUUUUACAUCACGAUAUUUAAAUGUUGUUUAUUUCUUUCUUAAAUUCCAUAUUCAACCAAACACGUCGCAUCAUCCGUUUGUGGGAUUUUACUAGAUAUGUUGUUUUUUGAAUCAUUUUCUGGGUGAUUGUAAUAAGUGACCGCAAUACAUGAGCAUAAGGUGGAUUUUCAUUUUGUAAUUCAAAAUAUCUAAAUGAUUCUAUAGACACAUAUAUUGGUCAAAAUUCUAUAUUAAUUUACAGAAAGGUAUCAAUUUGCUGUUCA